UGGCUUUUAAAGUUAAUGAUGUAACAAUAGAUCUGCCAUAUAUAUAUAUAUAUAUAUAUAUUUGCCAACACAUUCUCAUGGCCUUUUUUGAAAAAUUCUUGUUGAUUCCAAAUCAAUGAAUGUGUCAACAUAUAUUUCUGAAAUGAUAUCAGAUAAAAUCACCAUGAUAAAUGCAAAAAAUGCAAUCGAUAUUUUCUCACUGCUUAUGGGGUUUUUGUUGUUGUUGUUUUAAAAUAGCUCUAUUACAUUGUUUUAGUCAUCUAUUAUAAAUUUGCUGCUUUACAGGAACAUUAAUCUCCAAAACCAUUCAGUUUGGGAUUGGUCUAAUUAUAUGGAUAAUUUUUAUUUAUUUGUUUCCUUGCAACAGUCCUAUUCCUUUCAGUGCCCCAGGACAUAAAAGGUUUGUACUUGUCUUCUGAAUGAAAACCAGAUAUGCUGCCAGAGCCCUGACAUUUUUUCUUUUUUUUCUGACUCCUUCUGGGAUGUCCCAGCCAGUAUUAAUAGAACUGAAUUUACAAAAGUUAAAUGGCUGGCUAUUGUAGCACCAAAAGGAUGAAGCCAUCAUGGUGUACAUGUUCAAAGGUUGGACUAUGACUUUGGAGAACAUGGUUCAAAUGCUGAAUGCUGAAACGUGUAAGUGUGCCACAUUCGAUUGCAGUGAAGACAUCAAAGCUAUUCAUAAGGACGGAGACACACACUAGGAGAAGCCGCAGCAGUUUGCUUUUGCCUGAGUUUACUGGAAAGGAUGAAUUUUUUCCUCAUCCUCUCCUCCUACUGAUCUGAGUGCAAACUAUUUUUGCACUUUGAACUUAAUUUCCAGGAAUUGAAGUAACACGUGGACAAAUGCGGGGAAGUGGAAAGAGGUGGAGAAAACUGGAGAAAAGAUGGAUUAGUUGGAUUAGUUGGAAGUAUCCCUGCUAAAUCUGGACCGUUGAAAGAUGGCUGGGAGAAUGGCUUGUUAUCAUAUUUUCCACCCACACAUCAAAACAAAGAACACCAUAGGAUUCUGGUCUGUUUGCAUGGAAAGAAACUCUGACAUGAGCACUUCCUACACGGUCAUACCGUAGAUUGCCUACCUAAGUACUGCCAAGAAGAAGGAAAUGCAUCCCUGAAAGAAGAAGGUAUUGAUCUGUAUACAAUUUACACUUGCUAAGGUGAAUAUGUGGGCAGACGUUUAGGUGUAAUCACUGUGAUUUAAACAGAAAUAGACUUAAUCUCAGUAAAUGGGGAUGAAUUCUCAGGUGUACCUGCUCAAUCUACUCUCUAAGGGAGCAUCUACACCAGUAGUUCUCAACUUGUGGAUCCACAGGUGUUUUGGCCUACAACACCCAGAAUUCCCAGCCAGUUUACCAGCUGCUAGGAUAACUGGGAGUUGAAGGCCAAAACAUCUGGGGACCAAAAGAUUGAGAACCACUGCCCUAAGUGUUCAUUGGCGAAGAGCAACUUCAAGGCCUUCUUUCAAACAGAUUUGAGAGUCCUCAAGCACAGAAUUACCUUUAAGUCUACUGUGAUAGGACAUCAGUAAGGAAGAAGACUGCCAUAGUUCCUGUAUGAACUGUCAGAGCAAUAAACAACAAAUUGAGAAGACUGACCAUCACAUGGUUGUAAGGAAGAUGCUGACACAGAUUCGAUUUAGCUGCCAAAUAAAACUUGAAUUUUCAACUAAGCCUUUGGAUCUCUUUGAGGUCUCUCAAAUACAAAUGCAAAUCAUUUUAAACUGUUUUAAUAUAUUUGAUCUCUUUCAGCUUGUUAAUUAUAUUCAAAGGCAUUUAAUGUAUUUAAAUGAUUUUAUUGUUGUAAGGAAUUUUGAAUUGCUUAUUUUAAUUUUAUUUGCAAUCCAGUCUGAAAUCUUUUUGAUAUAGAGCGGAAUAGAAAUAUUUUAACAGCAGCAGUAGCAAUGACAACAAUACAUUGGAAGUUUUGCAGAGUGCUCCCAGAAGUGGCGAAAUAUGAUUGUUUGUGAUAAUACAUUUUUUUAGUCUCUCAUUACUGUUCUUUGUUUUGUUGUUAGUCACCGGAAGGGUAACCCAGCCUAUAUUUGCAGGUUUUGACAGCAGAAGCACUUAUUCAUGAGGAGAUCAUAUUGAAGGAUGGAAAAACGGGAAUAUGCAGUCCUCUCAAUGUCUAGUUUGAAUACAUAUAAUGUGUUUUGACUAUGUAGAAACAGUGUAAUAAAAACUGGAUAUUGUUCA